rnacentral:ncRNA from 1 species
GGAUGAGAGAUACACCCCGCUCACAGGGGACUGUGGGCGGAUCGGGCCGAGGCCUCCCCAGCUUCGACCUGGCCGUGCCCUCGCGCACACGAACCGGGGCCUGAAGGCUUCGGGUCUCCUCACGAUCGGA